UACAGAGGGUGCGAGCGUUAAUCGGAAUUACUGGGCGUAAAGCGCGCGUAGACGGUUAUUUAAGUCGGAUGUGAAAGCCCCGGGCUCAACCUGGGAAUUGCAUUCGAGACUGAAUAGCUAGGGUGCGGUAGAGGGAAGCGGAAUUUCCGGUGUAGCGGUGAAAUGCGUAGAGAUCGGGAGGAAUACCGGUGGCGAAAGCGACUCUCUGGACGGCAACUGACGCUGAGGCACGAAAGCGUGGGGAGCAAACAGG
rnacentral:rRNA from 1 species